UACGUAGGGUGCAAGCGUUGUCCGGAAUUAUUGGGCGUAAAGAGCUCGUAGGCGGUCUGUCGCGUCGGCUGUGAAAACCCGGGGCUCAACCCCGGGCCUGCAGUCGAUACGGGCAGACUAGAGUGCGGUAGGGGAGACUGGAAUUCCUGGUGUAGCGGUGAAAUGCGCAGAUAUCAGGAGGAACACCUGCGGCGAAGGCGGGUUGCUGGGCUGAUACUGACGCUGAGGCGCGAAAGCCAGGGGAGCGAACGGG
rnacentral:rRNA from 1 species